rnacentral:rRNA from 1 species
AACGAACGCUGGCGGCAGGCUUAACACAUGCAAGUCGAGCGCCCCGCAAGGGGAGCGGCAGACGGGUGAGUAACGCGUGGGAACGUACCUUUUGGUUCGGAACAACUCCGGGAUACUGGAGCUAAUACCGGAUAAGCCCUAACGGGGAAAGAUUUAUCGCCGAACGAUCGGCCCGCGUCUGAUUAGCUAGUUGGUGAGGUAACGGCUCACCAAGGCGACGAUCAGUAGCUGGUCUGAGAGGAUGAUCAGCCACACUGGGACUGAGACACGGCCCAGACUCCUACGGGAGGCAGCAGUGGGGAAUAUUGGACAAUGGGCGCAAGCCUGAUCCAGCCAUGCCGCGUGAGUGAUGAAGGCCUUAGGGUUGUAAAGCUCUUUUGUCCGGGAAGAUAAUGACUGUACCGGAAGAAUAAGCCCCGGCUAACUUCGUG